rnacentral:rRNA from 1 species
AAUCAACGCUGGCGGCGUGCCUAACACAUGCAAGUCGAACGAGAAAGUGGAGCAAUCCCUGAGUACAGUGGCGUACGGGUGAGUAACACGUGGAUGAUCUACCCCUUAGUUUGGAAUAACCAUGGGAAACCGUGGCUAAUACCGGAUAAGCUCGAGAGAGGAAAGCAGCAAUGCGCUGAGGGAGGAGUCCGCGGCCGAUUAGCUAGUUGGUGAGGUAAAAGCCCACCAAGGCAAAGAUCGGUAGCCGGCCUAAGAGGGCACACGGCCACACUGGCACUGAAACACGGGCCAGACUCCUACGGGAGGCAGCAGUGGGGAAUCUUGCACAAUGGGGGAAACCCUGAUGCAGCGACGCCGCGUGAGCGAUGAAGCCCUUCGGGGUGUAAAGCUCUUUCGGCAGGGAAGAUGGUGACGGUACCUGCAGAAGCAGCUGCGGCUAACUACGUGCCAGCAGCCGCGGUAAUACGUAGGCAGCAAGCGUUGUUCGGAGUUACUGGGCGUAAAGGGUGUGUAGGCGGUUUUUUAAGUUUGGUGUGAAAUCUCCCGGCUCAACUGGGAGGGUGCGCCGAAUACUGAAAGACUAGAGUGCGGGAGAGGAAAGUGGAAUUCCUGGUGUAGCGGUGAAAUGCGUAGAUAUCAGGAGGAACACCGGUGGCGAAGGCGGCUUCCUGGACCGAUACUGACGCUGAGACGCGAAAGCGUGGGGAGCAAACAGGAUUAGAUACCCUGGUAGUCCACGCC